rnacentral:rRNA from 1 species
CAAGGAGAAAAAUUAAAAGGCUUUUUCGCCCCCAGGAAGAGAGGCCCCCGCGGUCAAUAAGCUAGUUGGGGAGGUAACCGCUCCACCAAGGCAACGAUCCAUACCCCCCCUGAAGAGGUGAAUCGCCCCACUGGGGACUGAGACCCGGCCCCAGACUCCUACGGGAGGCAGCAGUAGGGAAUCUUCGGCAAUGGACGAAAGUCUGACCGAGCAACGCCGCGUGAGUGAAGAAGGUUUUCGGAUCGUAAAACUCUGUUGUUAGAGAAGAACAAGGAUGAGAGUAAAAUGUUCAUCCCUUGACGGUAUCUAACCAGAAAGCCACGGCUAACUACGUGCCAGCAGCCGCGGUAAUACGUAGGUGGCAAGCGUUGUCCGGAUUUAUUGGGCGUAAAGCGAGCGCAGGCGGUUUCUUAAGUCUGAUGUGAAAGCCCCCGGCUCAACCGGGGAGGGUCAUUGGAAACUGGGAGACUUGAGUGCAGAAGAGGAGAGUGGAAUUCCAUGUGUAGCGGUGAAAUGCGUAGAUAUAUGGAGGAACACCAGUGGCGAAGGCGGCUCUCUGGUCUGUAACUGACGCUGAGGCUCGAAAGCGUGGGGAGCGAACAGGAUUAGAUACCCUGGUAGUCCACGCCGUAAACGAUGAGUGCUAAGUGUUGGAGGGUUUCCGCCCUUCAGUGCUGCAGCAAACGCAUUAAGCACUCCGCCUGGGGAGUACGACCGCAAGGUUGAAACUCAAAGGAAUUGACGGGGGCCCGCACAAGCGGUGGAGCAUGUGGUUUAAUUCGAAGCAACGCGAAGAACCUUACCAGGUCUUGACAUCCUUUGACCACUCUAGAGAUAGAGCUUCCCCUUCGGGGGCAAAGUGACAGGUGGUGCAUGGUUGUCGUCAGCUCGUGUCGUGAGAUGUUGGGUUAAGUCCCGCAACGAGCGCAACCCUUAUUGUUAGUUGCCAUCAUUUAGUUGGGCACUCUAGCGAGACUGCCGGUGACAAACCGGAGGAAGGUGGGGAUGACGUCAAAUCAUCAUGCCCCUUAUGACCUGGGCUACACACGUGCUACAAUGGGAAGUACAACGAGUUGCGAAGUCGCGAGGCUAAGCUAAUCUCUUAAAGCUUCUCUCAGUUCGGAUUGUAGGCUGCAACUCGCCUACAUGAAGCCGGAAUCGCUAGUAAUCGCGGAUCAGCACGCCGCGGUGAAUACGUUCCCGGGCCUUGUACACACCGCCCGUCACACCACGAGAGUUUGUAACACCCGAAGUCGGUGAGGUAACCUUUUGGAGCCAGCCGCCUAAGUGAUAGAUAUGU